UACGAAGGGUGCAAGCGUUACUCGGAAUUACUGGGCGUAAAGCGUGCGUAGGUGGUUUGUUAAGUCUGUUGUGAAAGCCCCGGGCUCAACCUGGGAAUGGCAAUGGAUACUGGCAAGCUAGAGUGCGGUAGAGGGUAGUGGAAUUCCCGGUGUAGCGGUGAAAUGCGUAGAGAUCGGGAGGAACACCAGUGGCGAAGGCGGCUGCCUGGCCCAAUACUGACACUCAGGUGCGACAGCGUGGGGAGCAAACAGG
rnacentral:rRNA from 1 species